AGUGAACGCUGGCGGUAGGCCUAACACAUGCAAGUCGAACGGCAGCACAGUAAGAGCUUGCUCUUACGGGUGGCGAGUGGCGGACGGGUGAGGAAUACAUCGGAAUCUACUUUUUCGUGGGGGAUAACGUAGGGAAACUUACGCUAAUACCGCAUACGACCUACGGGUGAAAGCAGGGGAUCUUCGUACCUUGCGCGAUUGAAUGAGCCGAUGUCGGAUUAGCUAGUUGGCGGGGUAAAGGCCCACCAAGGCGACGAUCCGUAGCUGGUCUGAGAGGAUGAUCAGCCACACUGGAACUGAGACACGGUCCAGACUCCUACGGGAGGCAGCAGUGGGGAAUAUUGGACAAUGGGCGCAAGCCUGAUCCAGCCAUACCGCGUGGGUGAAGAAGGCCUUCGGGUUGUAAAGCCCUUUUGUUGGGAAAGAAAAGCAGAAGGUUAAUACCCCGCUGUUCUGACGGUACCCAAAGAAUAAGCACCGGCUAACUUCGUG
rnacentral:rRNA from 1 species